AAAUAAGAAGCAAAAAUUGCAUUUAAUUUCGACUUAAAAAUUAGGACAUAAUAUAACCCUUAUUUA
rnacentral:tRNA from 1 species